GGGAACAAUGGCCACAAUGUUCCACAGCCCCUUCUGUGAAGAGGGUAGAGUUCACCUGUCCUCUAUCUGGAUUCCCAGCCUGGCCCUGUGCCUCGUGUGUGUUGGAGACGGACAGCUGCUCCACGGGGAGGUCUGCUUUCCCCGCUGCUUCUGGAGCCCUCUGCCAUCGGCGGGACAAGCUUGGCCACCUUGGGCAUAGCCCCAGAUGUGAGUGGUGCCAGCCGAAAACAGCCAGACCAGAAGACUGUCCAGCCAACCAGUAGAAUCAUAUGAAGUUAAGAGAACGCAUUCACUGUUUUAUGCCAUUUAUUUGGGGAUGGUUCGUUAUGCGCCAAAGGCUAACUGAUACAAUUAACACCAAGAUUUCAGAGCACUUUCUUCUUCUGUUGGAGGGAGGGAGGUAAUAAGUUGCUUGUCGGUGACUGCUUCUUACAAGGUCUUCCCUGGAUGAAGCCCAACUACAGGGAGACAGACAAUAAAGAGCUUUCUCCAUCUGUCUUUUGCCUGCAUGGCCAGCCCCGAAGAGGCCAGGAUGAGGUUGAAGGUGCGGAAACUUGCUGUCCGGCUCAUGUGACCCAGUCCAGGCCGGUGGACCCAGGGGAGCCUGCUGCACCCUUUCCAAGGCCCCUCUUCCUGAGAAAGACGCAGUCUUCCCGGAUGACACAGGAGGGAGACAGCUCCCAGGUGUCUCCUCCGAGAUUUUCUGCCCUAACCCCCAGCACUGUGAACAGGCCACGCUGUCAGGUUCACAACCCCUCUCACUGUCGGCUCCUGAGAGAUCUGCUGCUUGCCAGAAGGCAGAGGCACCUCCAAGAAAAGGUCUCGGGGUGGCCUGCAGGGGCUGCAAUCCUGGCAGCAGCCAGCAGGAUGGAGGUCUCCGCCUUCCACUUGUGCUGGGGAGGAAGUGACUCUUCCUGUGGAGGUUUAGCGCCACAAGCUCACAGGUACCCACGGGAGAUGCUGAGCAGCAGGGGACGGGGUCACACAGAUGAGCUUUGUGCUGGGAGAAAACCAGAUGGGAGACAGAGGGGGGGUGGGACUCCCCGUGCUGCUCUGGCCCCGUCCCCAGCUCAGGUGAUGAAUUGGUGGUGUUGGUUUCCCCAGGCAUCCGGAUGA
ensembl:lincRNA